UACGUAGGGGGCUAGCGUUGUCCGGAAUCAUUGGGCGUAAAGAGCGUGUAGGCGGCCCGGUAAGUCCGCUGUGAAAGUCGGGGGCUCAACCCUCGAAAGCCGGUGGAUACUGUCGGGCUAGAGUGCGGAAGAGGCGAGUGGAAUUCCUGGUGUAGCGGUGAAAUGCGCAGAUAUCAGGAGGAACACCGAUUGCGAAGGCAGCUCGCUGGGACGGUACUGACGCUAAGGCGCGAAAGCGUGGGGAGCGAACAGG
rnacentral:rRNA from 1 species